GACACAAAACUGACGGGGUGUUCCCGCCCACCCGUCGUCUGAAAACGGGCCAAAUAACACCGUCGCGGUGGUGCUGGGUGUCAAACGAAAACAGCGCCAUCUGUGAACAAGCAUCGCAAACACCGAACUAUUUUAAAGAUAUACGAACUUUACACGAAAUGGUGUCUUCUGUGGACGAAGCAUGCGGAAGGCUUUGGAGUGAAUCGUCAGGUAGACAUGUGUGAAUCUGGUGGUACCGGAGAAGCUGGAUGGCCUUGACGAAAAUUCAUCAUACUCCAUUUUGGAAUAAACUAAAGAAAAGGAGCAAGAAAUUAUGUGUGUUUUCCUUUGUGACGGAUACAGUUUUUCGUAGUGACCUUUGCGACCACAAGAGGCGCCUUAAACUGUGGCUCAUCGGGCAGUUUUUUUUAAGGCAUAUUUCUAGAUUUGCUUAACGCGUGCAUUCUGUUGUGUACAUUCCUCGCUACAUUUGCUUGUUGACCUCGUGGUUUUGGCGAUUUUUGGCAUUUCAUUUACUCAUUUUUCAACGGUUUUCAAGAAACAUGAGAAGUUUCGUGUAUGGAUCAGCAUGGAUCAGGAAUAUCAUCGGGAUUUCUACUCACCUUGUAGGUUACUUAAUGUCUAUUGACUUCCAUUAUAGUGGAACAAUUACAGCUAGUAUUUGUAGCACUUACAACAUGUUAACAAUAUUGAAGCUUCUAUAAAAAAUGCACCAGCAGCCACAACGGAGUCGGUUCAUAAGACCUGGCAGAUGUUUCGAUUUUUCCCUAGAUCUAAGGGAAUUUUCUAUUAAAAGAUUGCAUCUGUUGACAUUGUAUUUUCAUGUUUGUUAUGGCGUCUCCUCUGCAUCAAGGUUGUUGUUCGCGCCGAUGGUUCGCGUUCACGUCGAUUUCUCGCUUCUAAGGUGCCACUAGCCAACCCAACAACCAGAGGAGUGUAAGGCAUUUGUGGGUGAACGUAGAAAUGGUUAACCGCCUGUUGGUUAUAAUCCCGAUUUUGUUUUGAUCCUGAUUUUCAAUGUGCAUACACAUUGUUGAGUUGCUGAUAAUUGUAAGUAGCCACGGAUCGGACGUAAACGACAAUAAGAGAAUACGAAACAUCUGACUGACUGUCUCCGUUGAAUUCCGACACCCUUUUGAAAUUAUCAAACCCAACCAUGUAUUUUCAUGGGAAUAUCUUGGUUUUUGAAUAAACAGUUGUACCCUAA